UUAUGCAUUAUAAACGGUGCCACCAUGCAUCACACACAAUACUACUGAGGUUUAUAUAUUUCUUCUAUAUAUUCACAACAACAAUUAUUCAAGUAUUAUUUUCUAUUAUACAUCCAGGUGAUCUUGAUACGCGGAAAAGUACUGGCACUAGUUGUCAAAUAGAAAUCCAUUUUAUGAUUAAAACAACCCUUUCUGAGCGCUGAUUGGCUAAAAUACGAACAC